UACAGAGGUCUCAAGCGUUGUUCGGAUUCAUUGGGCGUAAAGGGUGCGUAGGCGGCGCGAUAAGUCGGGUGUGAAAUCUUGGAGCUUAACUCCGAAACUGCAUUCGAUACUGCCGUGCUUGAGGACUGGAGAGGAGACUGGAAUUUACGGUGUAGCGGUGAAAUGCGUAGAUAUCGUAAGGAAGACCAGUGGCGAAGGCGGGUCUCUGGACAGUUCCUGACGCUGAGGCACGAAGGCCAGGGGAGCAAACGGG
rnacentral:rRNA from 1 species